rnacentral:ncRNA from 1 species
ACAAUGAUACUCCCGCCCAGCCACAGUCCGAGCGUGAUAACGUGGUCCAGCGUAAAGCCGUCGCAGGCAAUGGGGGGUGGCCGGCAGAGAACCUGCCGGGGGUGAAAUUCCCGUGA